rnacentral:rRNA from 1 species
UGGGGAAUUUUGGACAAUGGGGGCAACCCUGAUCCAGCCAUGCCGCGUGAGUGAAGAAGGCCUUCGGGUUGUAAAGCUCUUUCGGCCGGGAAGAAAUCGUGGUCUCUAACAUAGGCCAUGGAUGACGGUACCGGACUAAGAAGCACCGGCUAACUACGUGCCAGCAGCCGCGGUAAUACGUAGGGUGCGAGCGUUAAUCGGAAUUACUGGGCGUAAAGCGUGCGCAGGCGGUUUUGUAAGACAGAUGUGAAAUCCCCGGGCUUAACCUGGGAACUGCGUUUGUGACUGCAAGGCUAGAGUACGGCAGAGGGGGGUGGAAUUCCUGGUGUAGCAGUGAAAUGCGUAGAGAUCAGGAGGAACACCGAUGGCGAAGGCAGUCCCCUGGGCCUGUACUGACGCUCAUGCACGAAAGCGUGGGGA